rnacentral:misc_RNA from 1 species
GCCAAUUUGUGAAGCCUUCGGUUCUUGUCCACCCAAUGUGUCUUGGACUCUAAUGUCGGAAGAAAUUACUUCACAUGCCGUUUUCUCGAAUGCAUUCACACUUCUAUUGACAUUGUGGAGGUUUGAUCAGCCACCGCUUGAGCAUGUCACAAGAGAUGUUCCUGUGGGAUCCCAUCUAACUCCUGAAUAUCUAUUGCUGGUUCGCAACUCCCAGUUGGCAUUCUCUGAGGAUUUGCUGAAAGAUCAAAGCAAAAGCAAGCAAUUGUCUAGAGUUCUCAGUCAGUUACCUAGAGAACCCAUAUUUAUGGAUUCUUUUCCUAAACUAAAAUGUUGGUACCGACAACAUCAAGCAUGUAUUGCAUCACCUCUCUCAGGUCUCGUCCCUGGAACUCCUGUUCAUCAG